rnacentral:rRNA from 1 species
UACGUAGGGUCCGAGCGUUGUCCGGAAUUACUGGGCGUAAAGAGCUCGUAGGUGGUUUGUCGCGUUGUUCGUGAAAACUCACAGCUCAACUGUGGGCGUGCGGGCGAUACGGGCAGACUAGAGUACUGCAGGGGAGACUGGAAUUCCUGGUGUAGCGGUGGAAUGCGCAGAUAUCAGGAGGAACACCGGUGGCGAAGGCGGGGUCUCUGGGCAGUAACUGA